UUGGGAGCUCUCCCAUAUGGUCGACCUGCAGGCGGCCGCGAAUUCACUAGUGAUUAGACCUUCUUACACACGCGGCAUGGCUGGAUCAGGCUUUCGCCCAUUGUCCAAUAUUCCCCACUGCUGCCUCCCGUAGGAGUCUGGACCGUGUCUCAGUUCCAGUGUGACUGAUCAUCCUCUCAGACCAGUUACGGAUCGUCGCCUUGGUGAGCCAUUACCCCACCAACUAGCUAAUCCGACCUAGGCUCAUCUGAUAGCGCAAGGCCCGAAGGUCCCCUGCUUUCUCCCGUAGGACGUAUGCGGUAUUAGCGUCCGUUUCCGAACGUUAUCCCCCACUACCAGGCAGAUUCCUAGGCAUUACUCACCCGUCCGCCGCUCUCAAGAGAAGCAAGCUUCUCUCUACCGCUCGACUUGCAUGUGUUAGGCCUGCCGCCAGCGUUCAAUCUGAGCCAUGAUCAAACUCUAAUCGAAUUCCCGCGGCCGCCAUGGCGGCCGGGAGCAUGCGAC
rnacentral:rRNA from 1 species